CCCUUCCCCUCCAGACGCCCGCGCUCCCUCCUCCGCGACUGGGCAUGCUCAGUGGCUUCCCGGGUUGUGCUUCCAGGGAAACCUCCGCACGCCCUACCCGGGGCUGCUCUCGGUUGCCUGCUCGCAGUCCGCCGCCUGGGGCCCAUCCCAGCUUGCUCAGCUCCUAGCGACCCAAAUUCCGGCCCUGCCCCCGCCCCGCCCGCUUCCGCAGCUAGUGCGGCAGCCCUGGUCCAGGCUCCGCGCUGGGACCGACCUCGUCCAGCGCCGGGCGGAGCGCGCAGCCGGAGCGCUUGGGAGAGCAGAGAUGGAGACCCGACUGCCGCACGCCGGGACCUGCUGAGCUUUUGCGGCCGCCGAGUUCACGCAGGUAGAAUUGAACAGGCGACUGGGGAGCGACGGCUGACAGAGCUAUUAAAAGCAAAACAGUUAAGUGUGGUGGUAAGCUGUGAGAUUUUGAGUGCCUUUCGCCGCCCCCUACCCUCCCCGCCCCGCCCCUCAAGUGUGGGUGCUUCUAUUCACCGUGUUUCCUCCCCACCUGUAAGUGGCGAGUCCGGUAACACACCUUAUAAAUAUUUCAGGAACGACCUCGUAGGCUCGGUUGCUUCAGAUCAAGUUUAAUGAAUAUGUUUGUCAGCCUUUAUGCUCCGCACAGGCAGGUAGAAGCCCCGUGCCUCAGUUUGCCAGAUCUCAUCCCUUUCCUAUACCAAAUAGGAAAAAGAUACUGCCAACCCCACGGUGAGCUUUAGAUUGGUACCGUAAAUUUGAGUCUGUCGUUCGGAGAGACCAGUCUUGGGCAGAUAUCCAAGCGUUGUUCUGCAUCUCUGCAGUGUGCGUGUUGAGCCUGGAGCUUGACAAACCAGAGCUUCCAAUAUGGUGGAAAGCAGGUAAUAUGCUUAUGUUGGAAUAAACGUCUUAAUUCAUUAUCAUCUUAAGACACCAAGUAGUUACACAGAAUUAGUCAUUGUCUCCCUAGAAGUUGAAUCUGAGAUCUAGUUGAAAUUUUAAGAAAGGCAAAAUUUGUAUUCCUCUACAACUGGGAGACAUUUCUCUCUCCUGAAUUCUUCCGUGGGAAUAAGAAAUGAAGGUCUUUUCCAUAAUCACUGUCAAGAAUAAGGAAACAACACAGUAAUGUAGAAAACUUUCAGGAUUGGAAGAAGCUGUAGGGCAUCUUUCCUCACACUUUGGGUUAUAACUUCCACUGUAACACACACACCAUUAAUGCGCUACAGUGGUACUCCUUUGCUGAAGAAACCUGCUUUUUCCUCCCUUAGUGAGACUCUUAGUAUGUCUCUAAACAACUUGUGAGGAAUUCCUCUGUUGACCAAGAUUUCAAGCCUCUAAGAUUUACAUUAUGCUGAAAGAGACAAGUCUCUUCUCUUGUAAGACCAUGCACAUUGAAGCUAAACAAUUCAGUGUACAGAUAUUUCUCAUUUAGAGAAGACUUUUCUAGCAAAGCCCCACUGCAGUUACAUCACAGGCUCCACCUCCGCUUCCCAGGCUACUUCUCCCCAGCCUGUUAGUGAGGACAGUAUGUCUCACUGUGCUUGAUGAAGAAAAGGAAUCCCCGAAUGAAAGACAUAUAUUUCUCAUAUUGUGUUUUCAAACUUAAAAUUUCAAAAAAUUUUUCAUUAUUAAUACAUAAAUGCAAGGACUUAAUUCAGAAAUAGUAUUGAUAAUGACUCUGAAUAUCAGCUUUCCAAGAAAUCUGGGGCAACAUUACAGUAUUCUCUGUGCUGAAAUUAUUGAUAGAUGGUAUUAGAAGGAAUUCUAUGAAAUUAACAAAAUAAGUAAAAAUUUUCUAUAAGAAACAGCAUUUCCUAAAGUAUGUU
ensembl:lncRNA